CUAGUUCUCGCCGCUAGUAGCCUUCGAGAUGUGUUAUUGUUAUCAGCAGCGCCCAUCGCUGAGGCGUGAAUUUGGGACAUCACCUAUUCAUUAAAGUGAGUCCAAAUUAAGAAAUUAGUCUUGAAGUGCAGGAAGUAAACGAACUAAACAGACAAAAAGGAUACAAGAUAACUCAGGCACCCACCCUCGAACAACCCCUGCCACUCCCAAGUAUACUCGCCCUUCUGACCUCAUCGCUACUUAUAGGAGGAGUUUGUAUAUCCUGUGCAUUACUGUUUCCAAUGGAGGUAUCCUGACUCCUCUGGGUAUUGUACAGGCACACACCGUGCGUGAUCCUGGUAUCAUCAACAUAUUGUCUAAGGCUGAUGUCAACACUUGGACCAUUGCUGACCUGCCUGUCAUUAGCUACAGCCGCGGCCUCCACACCUGCCUGGCCUUUAAAUUGCCAAUGCUUCGUCUGUCCUUUCAGUGGGGAUGGGGGCGGCCAUUCAGCCAAGAUGUCUCAAGUUUUGAAAUUCUACGCUCCGCAGAAUCUUUAUCCCUGAUCACCUUCACAUGCCUGCUGCUGGCCCGCAUCCACUGCUUGCCAACUGUGCAAGCACAUGCCAUGAUGGUUCCUGGUAUACCCAACCUAUUGUCUAAGGCUGAUGUCAACAUUGGACCAUUGCUGACCUGCCCGUCAUCUUGACGUCAUCAGCUACAGCAGCACCCCUCUGCACCUGCCUGACCUUUAAAUUGCCAGGGCUUCGUCCGUCCUUUCAGUGGGCAUGGAGCGGCCAUCCUGCCAAAACGUCUCAAGUUUUGAAAUUCUAUGCUCCACAGGUGCGUAACCAGCCUACUCUUUAAGCUAAGCGAUCUGACAAUUGUUUUUUAUUGCUGCUUCCAUGCCCAAGUGUGCCUUUUUGACUCUGUCGAAAUGUGUUGGUGUCACAUUCUUGUUGCUUCACUCAUGUGACAUCGAAACAAACCCUGGCCCUUGAUCUAAUCCUACAAAGCCAAUUGAUAAUGCAGGUACACCUGAGCAAGUGGCAGAAUUAUUUCGGAUGUUAAAAGACAUUAAAAAGCAGAACACUGAGCUUUCCCAAGGUCAGACAGACCUGAAAUCUGAUGUUAGUGUUAUUAAGUCUAGCCACAAAGCCAUUCAAUCCAAACUAACAAAGAGUUUCAAAUGCCUUGAUUUGCUAGAAAACCAGGCGAAGCUGCUCGAAGAAGUUAUGAGUGACUUGACCUAUGUCUGUGGUUCUACUGAUUACCUGAAACUGCGGCUCAUUUGAACGAUUAUGAAGACCACUCAAGACGUAACAAUUUGAUUUUCCACAGCCUUCCUGACAGCCACAAAUACUGGCAACAAACCAAGCAAAACACUAUUGCGGAAAUUUCUUUCGUCCUGGGAAUGGCUUGCCUUCCAGUGCCGUUGAAUGUACCCAUUGUCUGGGAGUUCCACAAAUUCAAAAUUUCGCCCAAUUAUCAUGAAAAUCAAAGAUUUUAAAAAAAGAGAGAGGGGGCUCACAAUUUAAACUGAAACCACUAAACAUUUCUGUGUCAGGAUUUUUGCAAUGCGAUUCAGCAACUAAGAAAAAAGUUUCUUGAUUUUGCCAAAGCACCACCAGAGCCAUGCUUAUUUCAGCUAAAGUACAAGAAGCUCCUUAUGAGCAGCAAAUGCUUCAUGUUUUACUCAGCAUCAGAUCGUUUCAAAGAAGUCGAGCAGCCUUCCAGCUCAGUACGUGCACUUAGCAAAUGUAGCUACACAUGAAAAAAUAUGCAAUCGCUCAAUGCACCUGUAUAGGAUUGCACGAGAGGACCUUGUGCCUCUCCGUCAUUCACAUACGUGAAUGUAUUUCUUGGUAAUGCAUGCACUGUACUGAACAAACGCGAUGUUUUCGACUCUUUAAUCGAUUCUUGUGAAGCAGAUGUUAUUGCCCUAACUGAAACUUGGUUACACCCUAAUAUAGACCAUCACAAAAGUUUUAAUGAUGCUUAACGUUUCACAAUUCAUCAUUGUGAUCGAGCUACACGCGUUAGGGCAUUGUGCUCUUAGCCUCUAAAAAGUCUUUAACGUCUCGCUUUAGUCAUAUCGAUUCCCAGCUUGAAUCUGUCUGGGCAUGUAUCGAAUCAAGCCAUCGUAGGUUCAUUUUUGGUGCAUGCUACUACUCACCUUCCUAUUCUUCUGAGUUUAUUAAUGAGCUACAUGAUGUCCUUAGCCUUAUUAGUAACCAAUUUCCAAAUGCUCCUAAUUUUCUUAUGGGUGAUAUUAAUUUUUCCAACAUAUCGUAAUCUUCUGUGCCUCCCACUUCUAAUUCACCCUCAGCUGAAACCAGUAAUUUCUUUCACCUUUGUUCAUAGUUCUAGCUAGCACUGUUUGUCUCACAUUUGACCUGAAUUUCGGGAGAGACCACUAAUCUUUUAGCUUUAGUACUGACAUCAUGCUCUUAACUGGUGUCUGAUAUUUUGUGCAUGCCAGGUCUAAGUGAUCAUUUAUCAUUAGAAUUCAGCAUUAAUAUUUCUAUUUCAAAGCCUCGUGCACUCACAAAAAUAAUCUUAAACUCCAAUAAGGCUAAUUUCGCUGCCAUCAACCGUGAGUUGCCCCAUUUUCUUGAUCUACUCCUCGACAACUUCGGUGGAUGCUCUGUUAAUGACAACUGGCAAUUAUUUAAAGGCGACGUGCAUGAACUAACAAGCAAAUAUGUCCCCCUGUGCAACAUCUCUUAUAAUAUAAAAGCCCCCUGUACAAUGCAAAUUUAAAACAACUUGCUGAUAGAAAGGAACAUGCAUUUAGCACCGCCAAGUAUUCCACAUCAGAAGCCCAUUGGAGUGUCUACCACAGUGCCAAUCGCACUUAUGUAGAAGCUUCAAAAGCAGCGAAAAAUAACAUUUUAAAAGUGACACUACCCUCCACGUUGACCAGUGAUCCAUAAAAGUUUUGGCGCAUAAUUCUUCUGCUUAUGACACUAUCAGCCUUGUUCAUUCUACUGGGAACCUUAUACUGGACGAUGGCUGUCCAUCCAUUUUUCACAACACAAUUUCUAAUAACUUUAUUACUAUACUUCUAAUCCCCCCAUUCAAAUGUUCCCAUCACCCGUGUGCCUUGCUAUGGACCCAAUAAUCAUUGAACCAGGCAAUACUAAAGUAAUAAACUGUGUUAGGAUAUCUGCUAGCCCUGGUGCGGACCGCAUUAGUGCUAAGUUUUAAAGAAGUGCCGCUGUGUACUCGUCCCUGAUUCUUUCAAAAAAUUUUCAGCAGUCACUCGACAGUCAUUGUGUUCUUACAGGUUGCAAGAUCAGGAAGGCGAUUCCACUCCACAAGUCGAGUAACAAGCAUUCACCUAUCAAUUACCACGCCAUCCUGCUAAUUAGCAUCCCCUGUAAAAUGUUCUAACAUAUACUGUCAUCACAAUUAACUAAGUUUUUUUACUCCAUCUUGAUCUUUUCACCAGCACAUCACAGUUUUUGUAAAUCAUUUUCUCAGGAAACUCCCAACUUCUUUCCUUCACUCACAAAUUUCACCAAAUUUUACACCAUUUUUCGAUUGCCGACUGCAUUUUUCUCGAUUACUCGAAAGACUUUGAUCAAGUGUGUCAUAAUCUACUACUUUGCAAGCUAAGCAAAUUAAAUAUAGGUGCUCAUCUCAUUACUUGGUUUGAGUGCUACGUUACUAAUCGCAUUCAGUUUGUUGCAUGCAAUGGCACAAGGUCUUCCAGCAAGCUUGUUCAUUCUGGAGUACCACAGGGGUCCGAUAAAGGUCCUUUGCUGUUCUUAAUAUAUAUUAAUGACCUCCCAAAUUGUGCUUCUUCUAAUAUUCGCCUAUUUGCUGAAGAUUGUAUUAUAUUUAGGGAAAUUAACAACAAUAACGACAAUACUGCUUUACAAAGCACUCUAGAUGCUGUGAUCUAGAUGCUGUAUGUAAUUGGUGUAACACAUGGCUCAUGGGGCUUAAACCUAAUAAGUGCGUAGCGCUCCUCUUAAUUUGAUCUGCCGCUACCUCUCCCUGCUAUUUUCUCAAUAACCUGUUUCUUCUUACCGUUAUCUUGGUGUUCACAUUACCUCAGAGCUUACUGGACAUUACACAUCACCAGUGUUGUUAACGAUGCUAACCACAUGUUAGGUUACCUUUGCCGUAACUUCUCUUCUGCCCCUUCUCUCAAAUUGUUCCUCUACAAAACUGUUGGCAGAAGUAAACUUGAAUAUGUGGCCUCCAUAUGGGAUCCAUUUACUAGUAAACUUUUAACGUAAUUGAACUUGUUCAGAAUAAUGCUGCCAGAUUUAUCGCUAACUAUAACCACACAGCAAGUGUCACGUUUAUAAAAAAUGCCCUUGAACUGGCCUCACUUGCAUCCAACCGCACAAUCUCCAGGCUUUCCUUAUUUCACAAAAUCUAUUACCAUAUCCCACAGCUUCGAUUUGAGCCACUGUGGCCACAUUUUGAUGGAGGCGAAAUGCAAAAACGCCCAUGUCCCAUACUUUGGGGGCACAUUAAAGAUCCCCAGGUGGUCGAAAUUUCUGGAGUCCUCUACUACGGCAUGCCUCACAAUCAUAUCAAGGUUUUGGCAUGUAACACCCCAGAAUUUAAUAUUUUAGAAUUUAAUAUUUUUUUUUUUUAUCUCCGAUUUGAUCUACUUUCACCAACCACUUUUAUUUCUUCACACCUUGACCAUAGUAAUAAAAUCAGUAUCAACAUGUCGCACGAAAACUUUCUGUUCAUUUAUCCCACGGACUUCGGAGAACUGGAACCACCUUCCCAGAUCGGUCGCCUGCAUACAAGGCAUUGUUCGUUUUCAUGAAUCAUUAGCUAACGUUGUAUAACCAGGAAUUUUCAUGUACAACCAAGAACUUCCUGCAAGAAAUCAUUAGUUGUGACUAUUAGCUAAUAUUGUAUAACCAUGAAUUUCAAUUCUUUUACUCAAUCCUAGCACUCCCCUCUGUAAUUCCCUUGUGCCUUGAAGGUAUCAAUAAAUGAAAUGAAAAAGCAAUAAACGAAACUAUAGGUGAUUAAAACCAAAAGGCAGGUAAAACGAGGCAUUUAUUGUGGAGGUGCGGACAAAAGUAAUUACUAUAACACAGGAGCUGUGGCCGAGCUGCAUCCAAGUGCCCUCUAACAGCCUCAAGGGGAAACAAGAAAUUGGAUUACGCACGCAUGCAUGCAGGCUGGUGAUCAUAGAAGUUUAAUCGCAAUGCCCUGUAGCAUCCUUGAGGCUGCUAGAAGGCAGUGGGAGGCCCUUUUGACCACAGCUCCCGUGUUCCGAUUACAUUUUUCGGCACCUGUGCCUGCAUGAUACAAAAUAUUGCUUUACGCACUCUUGUUUAAGCUAUUAAGUAAUUGUCGCUUGUCGGUGCUCUGCAAACCUGCGCACUGUCACAAAUACUGACAUUUCACCUAGCUUGCUCAAAAUUUUUUUCUUACCUCUAUGUUAAAGAUGCACCGAACUAUUCAGCUGCAUCAUGUCCGAAUACCGCCAGUUCUUGUGGCUCCUGGGCAGUGCCCUCACUAUCAUUAUCAGCCUGCAAGGGCACCUGGAAGAUUUCCUCAAAUGUUCUUUCUGUGGUGUCGGCCCUGCAAGUUUCUAUGUCAUCACUGAUGCUGGUGUAAUUGUUCAUGUUCACAAAAAGACCAUUUGCUUCUUGUGUAGCUAGGAGAGCUGUCUCCUACAAGUCUACGGAUACAAACCUCUUGCUGAGCUAAGUAGCAGGUAUCAGUAGCAGCUGCAGUGGUUUGACUUAAUCAAAUCUGUGGGUCUUAUUAAAAAGCUUUUUUUUUUCUUUUCUUUUUUUUCUCCAUUUCAUCUGUGGAAAACAAACCAGAGUUCAUGCAAUGUUCUUCAUAUCUGAAAAUUCGCCUUGAGCAGGUUUGUCUUAACAAUAUGCUAUCUAGCAUCUUAAUAAUGUUGUGCAGUAAUUAAGGAGAAAAGCAAGUUUAUGCAUGAUAAUUAUUCUUAGAGACAUCAUGAAAAGUGUGGACAAAAUAAUUUCUGCCAUUGUGUAUUCAUAAAGGAUAGAAGCUACAUUAAAAGGCCCUCACCAGGCUGCAUAGAACGUUUCAGUUAUGCACUGGAAGUUACGACAUGCCCUCUAGGGAGCAUUCUACCGUGGAAAUUUUUCAAACUGGUUGAUUAAUAGCCAAGAUAGAAAUAUUUCAGUGCCACAAACCCAUGAUUUCAGAAGGCGAGCUUCACUGCCAACUUAGACGUGCUCUCCACUUGCCCCGUCUAGCCUCUGCAGGCGAAAUUCCUUCCCUGCGUUCUCCCUGGAAGAGCUGGAAGAUCGCGUGACAGAUACGUCACAGACCCCACCUUCUUCUGUUUUCUUUCCCCCUCACUUUUCUGCUGCACGGCACACUUCCAUGGAUGGUCUCGCGCACCAGCUGUUGCAUUUGUCUUGUUUCGCACAACGCACAAUUUGGUGUGCUUUACACGAGAACGCCUGACUACCAAUAUAAGUAAGUACUACACCAACAAUGAGGCAGACACAAGCAGAUAAUGGAGCAUGAUCGCACGCUGGAACACAAUACAAAAUGGCACAUUUUCAUUGUCUGCGUGCGUGACUGAACGACUAGGAAACAAGCAGACGAAACGGAAGUACAUCUCUCUUGCUACGGUACGAAGUAAACCAAAAAGACGUAGACAUUCAGUUUGUGUGUUUUGUUAUUUCUCUAGACUUUAAUUGGUCUAUUGAAACAACAGAUAACACAAAUGAGAGAUGUAGCCUUGAAUAAUUUUCGGAAGUUAUGUGUCACCAUGAGCAACGUCACAGCACAGACACGUAAGUAGGCCCACUUGUGCAUAUACAUCGCCUAGUCAGCUGAGAGCACGGCCUCCGUGAGAAGGGCAGACGGCAUUUGGUUUGAAAUAUAAGCUCUUUCCACGGUGCGUAGUGAUGUAAUACUUAGCAGACACAAUCGUUAGCAUGCAUUGUGUGCACUGUGCUUGUCGGCUCAAAAUGACCAGACCUGGUAAGGGUCCCUUUAAAGCGAAUGGCAGUUUUUAAGUGAACAAGUAAAACUAUUAUCAUUGAACUGACCUUAUUAAUUCUAUAUAUUUUAUUAAAGUAUGAGAUUCCAAUGUGCAUUUUGUCUUAUCUGACUGUGGUUGUAAGCAGUAGCCAGUUCAUGUAUACUUGUUGAAGAAAAUCUGGCUGUUGCAUGCUAUAUUUAACACAGAACUGCAUAUUUGCGAGCUAUUAACUUAAACACAGCUUGCAAUGGUAUUCAAAAGCACUACUAUUUAAUCUAUGGCUUCAAGUGGUUAAAGAAACACUAGAGAUGGUUUUACACUUAUUUUCAUCAUCGUCAUCAUCGGCCUAUUUAUGUCCACUCCAUGAAGAAGGCCUCUCCCUGCGUUCUCCAAUUUACCCUGCCCUGUGUCAACCGUUCCCUACUAGCACACGCGAAUUUCCUAAUGUCAUCGCCCCACCUACUGUUCUGCCAUCCUCUACUGCGCUCCCCUUCUCUUGGUACCCAUUCUGUAACCAUAAUGGUCCAACUGUUAUAUUACCUGUGCAUUACAUCACCCGUCCAGUGGCAUUUUUUUCUCUUAAUGUGAGUUAGAAUAUCGGCUAUACCUGUUUGCUCUCUGGUCCAAACCGCUCUCUUUCUUUCUCGUAACGUUAUGCCUAGUAUUCGUCGUUCCAUCGCACUUUGCGUGGUCCUGAACGUGUUCUCAAGCUUCUUUGUCAGUCUCCAAGUCAGCCCCAUAUGUCAGCACCGGUAAAAUGCACUGAUUGUACACCUUCCUUUUCAAUGAUGAUGGGAAGCUUCCAGUCAGCAGCUGACAAUAUCUGCUAUAUGCGAUCCUACCCAUUUUUAUUCUUCUAUGAAUUUCCUUCUCAUGAUCAGGGUUCGCGGUGAUUAAUUGACAUAGGUAAACGUACUCCUUCACAGACUCUAGAGGCUAACUGCCGAUCCUGAACUCAUGUUCCCUUGCCCGGUUAUUCACAAUUAUUUUUGUUUUCUGCAUAUUAAUCUUGAACCCCACUCUUAAACUCUCUCUGUUAAGGUCUCCAAUCAUUUGUUGUAACUCGUCUGCAUUGUUGUUGAAUAGAACAAUGUCAUCGGCAAACCAAAGGCUGCUCAGGUAUUCGCCAUCGAUCCUUACUCCUAAGCCUUCCCAGUUUAAUAGCUUGUAUACUUCUUCCAAGCACGCAGUGAAUAGCAGUGGAGAGAUAGUGUCUUCUUGUCUUACCCCUUUCUUUAUACGUAUCUUCUUACUUAUCUUGUGUAGAAUUAAGGUAGCUGUGGAAUCUCUGUGGAUAUUUUCCAAGAUAUUUACGUAAGCGGUCUGUACUCUUCGAUUCUGGGAAUUGUAUUGCGAGCAUGGCGGUAGCAGGGCCAUCAGUUGCUUCCACGCGCGAAAUGUUCAAACCAUGUCUGACUGAUUGAAGACAGCACUACUGUAGGUUAAAUGUGGCAUAGUAUUCCUGACUUUCUAGCGUAUAGGCCCGCAGCGUUCCCGAAAAACUAUGGGGCCUGUUCCCCCCCAUUUUUUCCUUCUCAUUAGCUCUAAUAUAAGCGCUGUCCAAAGCUGUAGAAAGGCUGAAGACACCUGUGGUAACUGUCAAGGUCGUCUGCUAUGCACGAGGCUCAGAGCCAUAUUGUUCCAGCAGCCCGUCUCGCCACUCUUUAGUAUUUACUCGAGAGCGUAAGUUUCAGACGGCAAGAGGCAGGCAGACACAACAACAAGCAUAUGAUACGUGGCUCGGGGCUUCUCGGUAAGCGCUGAAAACGUUUUCCUUUUCUUACUUUUUUCACACAAGUUUUAAGUGCUGUUCAAAUUCAACAAAAUAUAUUGUGUACCUAGGCGCGUUCAAGGUCGCAUGCAUGCGCGAGAUUUGGGAAACACACUUAUUUUAUUUGUUUCCAAAAGUUUCAUUCCAGAUCCCCUACAGGACACAAGUUGAAAAAGUGUUUGUAAUUCCUGCAGUUGUAAUGACAUAAUAGUGCGAAGUCAAUUAUGAAGACAAAGCUGUUGAUAUUUAUUACAGUAGCUGCUUCCGGAGUGAUUAGAGAGAUGCCUGCAGAUGCCGGAGAUGCCUGAGAGAUUAGGAGAUGCCUGCAGCUUGGCUUUGCUUCAUUACAUUGGCGUAGCUAGAAUAUUAUCCAAAAUGGCUGCCAAUGCCAAGCGCUUAAAGAUCUCCUCUUUUGGUUGAAAUGUAUCCUAAGUCGCACCUUGCACAUCACGCAGAUUACAUAAUCACCUCAGCUUUGGGCGCAUCUACGGGAACACCUACGCAUUCAAUUGGUCAGCGCUUGCUCGUGCCAUUCGGUUAUGAACGCUCCUCCUGAUUUCAUUGUCUCUGAAACAAAUCCUGAUAAAUUCCGCCAGCUUAUGAGUUCAUGGUCCACUGCCUAACUUCAACAAAAAGCAUGGUCUUUUUUUUUUUCAAGUUAUAUGUGUUCUGUGUGCUCUCUUGUUUAUGAGCUCAUUAUGAUUUCCCUUAUUUGUCUUGUGUUUUUAUCAUAUGACAUUGGAGUAGAUACUUUUGUAUAUUGUUUGCUGAAAGAACUGCAUCUUUUGCCCUUUCUCUAAUAUGUAUGUUGCCAUCUCCUAUUAUUUUUGUGCAAUUCUCUAAUUUUCAAAUAAAAAGUUGUGUAUACAUUUCUGUACGGUCUAGUAUUCAUGUAUGUACAUUGUGUUUUGUUAUAUACCCCUUAUAUGUACUCUUCUAGUCCUUCUGUGAC